AAAAACUGUGGGAACAUCACACAGCAGUGGAGGUGAUGUGUGCCUGAAGAGACCUCAAGGGACUGCUGGAGCGGGGGCAGCAGAGACCUGGGUGGUGACAAGAGUGGCCAGAUUGGGGGUGGGCUACACCUGGAUGGGGAGGCUUGGGGACAUGGGAGGUUAAUUUAGUCCAUCUCUUUGGGGCCAGGAUGAUAACGUUGUUCCCAAAUAAUUGCAGCCCGAGACUCCCCUUCCCAUCCCUUCACCUCAGCCCCUGGGAAGGCCCUGACCCCUCCUCCUGCCCCCCAGAUAUCUUAGGGCACAUCUCACAGCCUGGGAAUUCUUCCUGAUGUUGAAUGCCACUGGGCUUGGCAGCACCUGACCUUGUCUUGCAAACAGUGACUUCUGCUGGUCCCACCCCUCACUGUCCCUGCAGGAGUAUCAGCAAGAGUUCAUAGCCAAGUGGAGGUGCUUGGACCUGGAUAUUCUGCUGACACGAGCGCUGACCCCUGCCUUCUCUACAGGCCAUUCUAGCAUGGCAUUAGGGACGAGCCAAGUCCGCCUCACAGGGGUGGAGAGGACUCAAGGAAUCAGUAACGGAGAGAGGCCAGCACAGUGCCUGGCACAGAGGAAGGCUUCAAGAGCAUCCAUCCUCUCCUUCCCUCCACUGUGGGGCGGGCAGGAAGCCGUGGUCAGGUGAUUUCCCGGCCCCAGACGGGGAACGUUGCAAGCCCAGAGGGCUGCAGUUCCGAGAAGGACCCCGAGGGGGCGCUCACCCAACACUCUUCCCCACCUGCGUCUUUCGUCCCCUGACCUGGGCUGGCAGGGAUCUUCCUACAGACGUCGCCUCCUGCUGGAGCCUGUACAAUGUCCUGAACUUCCCCGCUGGCAUGGUGCCGGUCACCGCGGUGACGCUGCAGGACGAGGAGGAACCGGCCUUCUACAAGGGAUACUACGGAGACAGUUCUGACAAAUCUUUCUGGGAGGCACUUCCCUGAUCAAGAACUUGCCAUGACUUCCACUGCUGUCUAGAGAAAGUUCCAAAGAGCAGGCCCAAGAGAAUGAAACCCAGUCAGAACUGAUCCUAGUCCUACUUCCAGCCAGCUCUGCAAACUAAUGGACUCAUUCCUCCCUGUGCUCGAUAGCAGAGACUUUCUGGAGAUAAAACCUCAAUGCAGAGGAAUAGAUUUUCUCCAUCCUCCCCAUCCACCUAUAUAGCCAUCCAUCCUACAUUUGUUGAGUACCUCCUCUGAACCCAAAUGAUGGAAUUUCAGGCAGAAAAAGACCUGAGAGUUUAACUACGAAGGAAUCACGCCAGAAGGGAAGUCCUGACUCCACCUACCACAGAAGGAAGCAUCUGGGAUGUCCAGGGGCAGAGAGAGGAGAGAGCGAGAGUACAUAAGCAGGAGGAACAGGAGAAGGAGAAGGAGAAGGAGAAGCAGCCUCCCCACUGAGCAGGGAGCCUGAUGUGGGAUUCGAUGUGGGGCUUGAUGUGGGGCUUGAUCCCAGGACCCUGGGCUCAUGACCUGAGCCGAAGGCAGAUGCUUAACCGACUGAGCCACCCGGGCGCCCCUCAUGUGGCAUUUAUAACAUACCAGCCACCAUAUAAAGAAAUCCAGGCUACUAUGCUGAAGAGGCUGCAUGGAGGAGAACUGAGGCACCCCCGCUGACAGCCCGCACCAACUGCCAGCCACAUGAACAAGCCCUCUUGGAAGAGGCCCCCCGCCCCCGUCAAGACUUCAGAGGAUAUAGCCCUAACCAAUAUAACUGCAAUCCCUAAGAGACCCCCCAGGCCAGAACCACCCAGCUAAGCUGCUCCUGGAUUUCUGCCCCUCAGAAACUGUAAUAUAAUAUAGGCAUACCUCAUUUUAUUGAGCUUUGCUUUAUUGCACUUUGCAGAUACUAUGUUUUUGUUUUUUGUUUUUUGUGUUUUUUUUUUUUGCAAAUUGAAGGUUUAUGGCAACCCUGUAUCGAGCAAGUCUGUCGAUGCCAUUUUUUUCCAACAGCAUUUGCUCACUUAUGUCUGUGGCACAUUUUGGUAAUUUUUGCAAGAUUCCAAAUCUUUUUGUUAUUAUUAUAUUUGUUAGGGUGAUCUGUGAUCAGUGAGUAUGACCAGCUGAAAGCUCAGAUGAUGGUUAGCAUAUUUUAACAAUAAAGUAUUUUU